GAUGAACGCUGGCGGUAUGCUUAACACAUGCAAGUCGAACGGGGUUCUAUGAACCUAGUGGCGGACGGGUGAGUAACACGUGAGAAUCUACCUUCAGGUCAGGGACAACAGAUGGAAACGCCUGCUAAUCCCUGAUGAGCCCUUGGGUAAAAGAUUAAUUGCCUGAAGAGGAGCUCGCGUCUGAUUAGCUAGUUGGUGAGGUAAGAGCUUACCAAGGCAACGAUCAGUAGCUGGUUUGAGAGGACGAUCAGCCACACUGGGACUGAGACACGGCCCAGACUCCUACGGGAGGCAGCAGUGGGGAAUUUUCCGCAAUGGGCGAAAGCCUGACGGAGCAAUACCGCGUGAGGGAGGAAGGCCUUUGGGUCGUAAACCUCUUUUCUUAGGGAAGAAGCUCUGACGGUACCUAAGGAAUCAGCAUCGGCUAACUCCGUGCCAGCAGCCGCGGUAAU
rnacentral:rRNA from 1 species